UGAGGGAAUGCCUUAUUGUCCAGAAUAACUUUAUGGUUCACAAGUAAAUCAAAUUUACUUGUCAAACAGAAUUUACUUCAACCUGAAACCAUUUCUGGAGAGGAACUCUCUAUAUGAACUUGUAUUACAUCUAAUUAUAUUGCAUUAGGUUUCUAUUAACAUAACAUUUUUAAUUUGCUGGAUAGAAACUAACGUAAUUAUUAAUCUCAUUUUAUGAUUUAUAUUGUUCUGACUAUUGAUAAUGAUAUUGAUAUAUUACGUUUAACAGUAAUCUGUAGUUUUUAAAGCAAUAUAAUGUCAGUUAUUCAAACCAACCAAGCAAAAAGGAUUACAGAGAUUUGCUCUAUUCUAUUUAAGAGCUCCAGACACAAGAAGGAUACAUUUUUCAUCUUUGUGCUAUGCAGAAAAUCAUUCUGGAAUACGGUACUUGGAAAGCUAGAUGCACAGCUGAAAAACCAAGGCUGUGGAUAUCUCAUUCAGAAAUGUGAACAGUAUAAUAAACUGCAAAGUAUCAGCAGAACAGCAUACUAAAACAGCCCAGAAUUGAAAGACAAGCCUAGAAAUAAAGAUCUACUGAAAGCGCAUCACAGAAUAAGAACCUACUGAAAUUACACUUCGUUUUCACAUAUAUAAUUUUAGUCUAUGUAGAGAAACAAAUCUGCUUUGAACUGUUUCAUAUUAUUCCCAAUGGAUAACAUUACAAGAUUCAAAAUGAAACUCAGAUGUUAUUCUGUGUUCUUUGUUUAAAAAAGACUGUAUUAGAUAUGCUUCAAGACAAGCUUUUUUUUAAAUUUUUAUGUUCUGUGUUGGACAUCGUUUGUGAUAGUAGUAAAAAGCAUUUAUUUCAGAAAUAAGCUUUUGGAGUUCUGAGAUUGUUCUUUCAAUGCCAACAAAAUGGCCACUAUGAGGAAACACUGUUGACUGAGACUGGCCUAUCAUAAAAAGAUAAAUUUAUCAGAAGGCAAACUGAUAAAGAUGCAGCUCCCUGACCCUCUCUAGAGCAGCAAUGACAACAGGAGAAGAACAAAGGGAGCCAGAGUGAUGCAAGCAGCAUCAUGAUAUUGUAACACAAGCCACUGGUCCUCUUCUUCAUUAUAAUGCCAUGCCCAUGGCCCUAAAGGAAGGA